GAUGAACGCUAGCGGGAGGCCUAACACAUGCAAGCCGAGCGGUAUGGGUAGCUUGCUACCCAGAGAGCGGCGUACGGGUGCGUAACACGUGUGCAACCUGCCCCUAUCCGGGGGAUAGCCCUCCGAAAGGAGGAUUAAUACCCCAUAAUAUAUCUGGUGGCAUCACUAGAUAUUGAAAACCCCGGUGGAUAGGGAUGGGCACGCGCAAGAUUAGAUAGUUGGCGGGGUAACGGCCCACCAAGUCGAUGAUCUUUAGGGGUCCUGAGAGGGAGAUCCCCCACACUGGUACUGAGACACGGACCAGACUCCUACGGGAGGCAGCAGUGAGGAAUAUUGGACAAUGGGUGGAAGCCUGAUCCAGCCAUCCCGCGUGAGGGACGACGGCCCUAUGGGCGGUAAACCUCUUUUGUACGGGGAUAAACCUAUCUACGUGUAGAUAGCUGAAGGUACCGUACGAAUAAGCACCGGCUAACUCCGUG
rnacentral:rRNA from 1 species